UGGGGAAUUUUGGACAAUGGGGGAAACCCUGAUCCAGCCAUCCCGCGUGUGCGAUGAAGGCCUUCGGGUUGUAAAGCACUUUUGGCAGGAAAGAAACGCCAUGGGUUAAUACCCCGUGAAACUGACGGUACCUGCAGAAUAAGCACCGGAUAACUACGUGCCAGCAGCCGCGGUAAUACGUAGGGUGCAAGCGUUAAUCGGAAUUACUGGGCGUAAAGCGUGCGCAGGCGGUUCGGAAAGAAAGAUGUGAAAUCCCAGAGCUCAACUUUGGAACUGCAUUUUUAACUACCGGGCUAGAGUGUGUCAGAGGGAGGUGGAAUUCCGCGUGUAGCAGGGAAAUGCGUAGAUAUGCGGAGGAACACCGAUGGCGAAGGCAGCCUCCUGGGAUAACACUGACGCUCAUGCACGAAAGCGUGGGGAGCAAACAGG
rnacentral:rRNA from 1 species